rnacentral:lncRNA from 1 species
CUUAAUUCCAGCGGGAUAGAACACUCGUGUAUUUAAUGACAGGACUAUAUACAGCUGUGGAGCUCUCCAUUUCUUGGAAUGCCAGUCAGGACACGGCAAGAAGAUGGCCAUCUGUGAACCAGAAGGAGAGCCCUCAGCAGAACUCAACCAUGCUGGCACCCGGAUCCUGGACUUCCCAGCCUCCAGACUGUUUCUUGAACUUUCAUCUUGCAAAACUGACUCUAUACCCACUGGUCAAGUGAUCUUCAACAAGGGCACUAAGACUGUAAAAUGGGGAAAGAAUAUUUUCUUCAACAAAUGGUAUUGAGAAAACUGAAUAUCCAUGUACAAAAGAAUGAAGUUGGACUCUUACAUUAUACCAUAUUUUAAAAUGAAGUCAAAAUGGGAUUAAAGAUCUGAAACUUUAAAACUCCUAAAAUAAUAGAGAAGAAUCUUUACAAAGCUGAAUUUGGCAAUGAUUUAUUGGCUAUGACACCAAAAGCACAAGCAAUGAAAGCAAAAAUAGACAAAUGGAACUACAUCAAACUAAAAAGCUUCUGUGCAGCAAAGAAAGCAAUCAACAGAGUGAAAAGACAAUUUAUGGAAUGGGAGAAAAUAUUUGCAAAUCAUAUAUCUGGGAAGGAGUCAAUAUUAAGAAUAUAUGAAGAACACCUGUAACUUAACAACAAAAAUAACCCAACUUAAAAAAUUGGCAAAGGACUUAAAUACAUAUUUCUCCAUAGAAGAUAUACAAAUGCCCAAAAAGCAUAUGAAAAGGUGUUCAACAUCACUAAUUAUUUAGAAAACGCAUGUCAAAGCCACAGUGAGAUAUCACUUUAUACCUAUUAGCAUGGCUGCUAUUUAAAAAACAAAAACAAAAACAAAAACAAACAAAAAAACAAAAACAGAAAAUAACAAGGGCUGGCAAGAAUGUGGAGAAAUUGGAACCCCUGUGCACUGUUAGUGGUGAUGCAAAAUGGUUCAAUUCCCAUGAAAAUAUAUCUCUGGACUCUAUUCUGGUCCACUGGUCUGUAUGUCUGUCUUUACAUCAAUACCAUACUGUUUUGAUUGCAGUAGCUUUGUAAUAUGUUUUGUAAUCAGGAAGUGUGAGGCUUUUGGUUUUCUCAUUUCUCUUAGGAUUGUUUUGACUAUAUGGCUUCUUUUGAGAUUUCAUAUGAAUUUGAGGAUUUUUUAUUUUUAAAAAAUUCCAUUGAAAUUUCAUAGGGAUGGCAUCGAAUCUGUAGAUUACUUUACAUAGUUUGCAUAUUUUAAUAAUAUUAAGCCUUGCAAUCUGUGAAAAUAGGAUGUUUUUUCAUUGAUUUAUGUCUUCUUUAAUUUCUUUCAGCAAUGCCAUGUAGUUUUUAGUGUAUAAGUCUUUCACCUCCUUGCAUAAGUUU